rnacentral:misc_RNA from 1 species
GGAUUUUUUUUUUUUUUUUUUUAAGAAGUUGUAUUUUUUUAUUCUCCUUUUUUUUUUCUUUUGUUUUAUUUUUAAUUUUCAAAAUUCUGUGACAAAGAAAGAUGUGUUUAUGUAUACAUCCAUUCCAACCCUAGCUUUUGAAACGGGGGCUUGGGAUGCUUCUUAUGUCUUUCAAAAGGCUGAAAGCCAUGAGGAAUGAAGAAUUGUUUUGUUUGAUUUGAUACAUCUAUGUUGUAUUUGGGCCAUUGAAAAAGUAUAUAAAGGUGAAUGUUAUUAGAUUUGUUUGGAAUGUUGGGGUUCUUCUUUUCUCAGUGGGAAGUCACCUUUUCACUGUUACAUAGCACUGUGUUUGGGGAUCAAGAUAACACAGCAACUAUCUUUCAGGAGUUUCAGGGAAAUGAUAUUUACAUACUUUGAUCAGAUGGUA